rnacentral:rRNA from 1 species
AUUGAACGCUGGCGGCAGGCCUAACACAUGCAAGUCGAGCGGUAGCACAGGAGAGCUUGCUCUCUGGGUGACGAGCGGCGGACGGGUGAGUAAUGUCUGGGAAACUGCCUGAUGGAGGGGGAUAACUACUGGAAACGGUAGCUAAUACCGCAUAACGUCGCAAGACCAAAGAGGGGGACCUUCGGGCCUCUUGCCAACAGAUGUGCCCAGAUGGGAUUAGCUAGUAGGUGGGGUAACGGCUCACCUAGGCGACGAUCCCUAGCUGGUCUGAGAGGAUGACCAGCCACACUGGAACUGAGACACGGUCCAGACUCCUACGGGAGGCAGCAGUGGGGAAUAUUGCACAAUGGGCGCAAGCCUGAUGCAGCCAUGCCGCGUGUAUGAAGAAGGCCUUCGGGUUGUAAAGUACUUUCAGCGGGGAGGAAGGUGCUGAGGUUAAUAACCUCAGCAAUUGACGUUACCCGCAGAAGAAGCACCGGCUAACUCCGUGCCAGCCGCCGCCGUAA